rnacentral:rRNA from 1 species
AUGAAAAUCAUAGCAUGGAACUGCCGGGGCCUUGGGAAUGCCCCGACAGUUCGAGCUUUGCUGGAUGUCCAGCAAAGAUAUCUCCCCGAUGUGAUGUUCUUGUCGGAGAAUCACCUCGAUCGCUAUCCGGCUGAGGGUUUACGUAGAAGAUUGAAGAUGGAUCAAAAGUUUGUUUGCACAAGUGAUGGAAGGAAAGGAGGGUUGAUGCUUCUCUGGAAUAAUAAUGUA